UACAGAGGUCCCAAGCGUUGUUCGGAUUCACUGGGCGUAAAGGGUGCGUAGGCGGUCGGGUAAGUCUGAUGUGAAAUCUCACAGCUUAACUGUGAAACUGCAUUGGAUACUAUCCGGCUCGAGGAAUGGAGGGGAGACUGGAAUACUUGGUGUAGCAGUGAAAUGCGUAGAUAUCAGGUGGAACACCAGUGGCGAAGGCGAGUCUCUGGACAUUUCCUGACGCUGAGGCACGAAAGCCAGGGGAGCAAACGGG
rnacentral:rRNA from 1 species